GGCGUCACACUUAGUGGGGCGCCGCAGCCCGACAUACAGUACUUGAGCCGCCACCAUCCUUGGAACCACGUGCUCCUCCCUUCUACAGGUUUCCAGAGCAGGACAAAGCUUUUCAUGUUGACAAUGAGACGACCAGAACGUACAUCUUCAUAGCCAGCCACAAGGUAUUCUAGCCCUGAGAAAAUCAGAACAGCGUUACCAACUCACAGUCACCUGAACGCCUUCCUACCUCUUAUUUUUCAUCAGCAUUACAGUUACAGUCCAAGGGCUUAAACAUCAGUGUGAAGGCUGCAGAUUACACAGAGGUCAAUGACAAUGGAUCAUAGCAACAAUGCUGUUUGUGUAGUCAUUCAUAUUCUAUGCACUUCUAAUGAGCCAUUACACACAACACUAAGUUGGUUUCUAAAUGAGCAGAAAUAGUUGUGUUUCUAUCCAGAUCUGCAUGACAGCAUGAGCCCAGGAGGGAUGAAUCCUGGCCUGCUAGGGUGUGAAGGAGGGAAAACGCAAAAAAAAAGAAGAAGAAGAAGAAGAAUUCCUGACAACAUAACUCAAACAGAUUCUGUCUGUUUACCUUGGCUGUAACACCUGUUCGUGCUAGAAAGAUUUCUUCCACAUUCACCACCUGUUUACUGAGAAGUCAUCAGACACCUGUACAGUGUGUGAGAAUAAAGAUUUAUGGCUCCCGGCUUUUCUUAAAUAUAUACCAGUUCUCUGCAGGUUACAGUACAGGCAAUCUACAUUAGGAAGAAACAAAAACAGUGGUGUACUCCUUAUAUAUAGAGAGCCUUGUUCAGCCAGUUGCAUCAGGUACCGCAAAAUGCGAUUGCUCAAUCCAUUUACAUCUUCCUGGACGAUUCAAAGUCAGUCACAUAUACAAAUCUCAAGCUGCGAGUAUGCCGCUUGGCUGAGACUCCCUUCCCUUGCCAUAUUUGGCUGCAUUGAGACUGGAUUGUAAUUGGAGGCCUGGUUUCAGGUGUGAAAUACAAGAAUGAUGACACGGUCUGAAUAUUGACAGGGUUUGCAAAGUUGACAGUUGUCAUGACUGCGUUCACUAUAAAUGUUUCCGGUGGAAAGGUCAACACUACAGCCUACCCUAACCAAUUAUGAUCGGUGAGACUCUGCCUCCCCUGCCUACCAUAAGCGCACAUCACUGACCGUAAAGGUAGAAUAAUUCUAACUCUGAUUUAUUCACAAUGAAGACAUUCUGCAUGGGUACAGCUUGUGAGUAUCGUGAUGUGCAGAGAGCUCCUUUCUCAUUAAUGUCAUCCUCAAGUUGAAAGCUUGCAGUACAGUUUGGGGAGAAGUAUUUAUAUGGACGCCAAGUGAAGCCAAAAUCCUGUGACCUCUCCAGAAUCAUAGCUGCAGGUCUAGGAGAUCUAAAUACCAUGAUCAAUUAAAGGAAAAUGAUCCCAAGAGGUAAAACUACAAAUCUCAGUAGUGGAUGACUCAUUUACAGAUCAAAAGACCCGAUGAAUAAAGAACACAUGACUCUGAGGAGGAUGCCUGUAGAGAUGUUUAUUUUUAUUUAUUUUGAAAACCUAUAUAAACUAACUGCAUAAUAAGUUUCAGUUAAAGUUCAACAAGAGGUGCUUUGGAGUCUGGAUCUAUUACUGUUAUUU